rnacentral:rRNA from 1 species
CCCUUAGAUGUUCUGGGCCGCACGCGCGCUACACUGAUGCAAUCAACGAGUGAUUCCUGCUCCGACAGGUGCGGGUAAUCUUCUGAAAUUGCAUCGUGAUGGGGAUAGAUUAUUGCAAUUAUUAAUCUUCAACGAGGAAUGCCUAGUAAGCGCAAGUCAUCAGCUUGCGUUGAUUACGUCCCUGCCCUUUGUACACACCGCCCGUCGCUCCUACCGAUUGAAUGGUCCGGUGAAGCGUUCGGACCGUGGCCUUUGGACGGUUCGCCGUCUGUUGGCUGCGGGAAGUUCGUUAAACCUUAUCAUUUAGAGGAAGGAGAAGUCGUAACA